rnacentral:rRNA from 1 species
GAUGUUGGAUUAAUUCGAUGCAACGCGAAAAACCUUACUACCCUUUGACAUGUCCGGAAUCCCGAAGAGAUUCGGGAGUGCUCGCAAGAGAACCGGAACACAGGUGCUGCAUGGCUGUCGUCAGCUCGUGUCGUGAGAUGUUGGGUUAAGUCCCGCAACGAGCGCAACCCUUGUCAUUAGUUGCCAUCAUUUGUUGGGGCACUCUAAUGAGACUGCCGGUGACAAACCGGAGGAAGGUGGGGAUGACGUCAAGUCCUCAUGGCCCUUAUGGGUAGGGCUUCACACGUCAUACAAUGGUCGGUACAGAGGGUUGCCAACCCGCGAGGGGGAGCUAAUCCCACAAAGCCGAUCGUAGUCCGGAUCGCAGUCUGCAACUCGACUGCGUGAAGUCGGAAUCGCUAGUAAUCGUGGAUCAGAAUGUCACGGUGAAUACGUUCCCGGGUCCUU